rnacentral:misc_RNA from 1 species
CAUCACACCAUUUAUUUCCCCUUUCCUGUUGAGUCUGUCUUACAUCAUAAAUCGAACCAAGCAUUUCGAAAGCCAGAAGGCAAAUCAAGAAAACACACUGACAUUAUUACCAAGUCUUGGUCACCCUAGGUAACAGUUGAAAAUAAGAACUUGUCUAUAUUAUGCAUCAGUUUAAAGAGAACCGUCUAUGGAUUAAAUGUACAUGCCUUUGUAAGGAUCUAGAAGAAAAUAAAUAAUAUGAGACUUCACCCUCCAAGCAAGACUGGACUAUGUUCGGGUUUUCACAGCCUUCCACAGCUGCACCCACUCCACCAUGGAAUCAGCUGCACGGGUGAACACAGGAUCUAUUCGUCCCAGUUGCUCCUUCACGGCUGCUGCAAUCUCAAUCACACAAUCUUCUGCUGUUUUUGCUGCCGGAGUCAAUUUCAUUGAUUGGAAGAAUGGAACAACUUCUUCCAUCAGCUUCACCCCCUCCCACUCUUUCUUCAAACUCUCUAUGGCAUUACCUCUUUCUUUCCUCCACACAUAUGGAAGCCCAGUUUUCACACCAUAUCCUAAGUGAUCACAUACUACCUUAACACACAUUCCAGUCCAUACAUCCUCCACAGUUUCCCACCUGAACUUUCCUUCCUUUGCCAACUUGAAAGAUGGCAGCAAAGCAGGUCCCACCAAUUCACGAUCAAACGCUAUAUUGAUUCCGCUCAUAGGCAUCAUGGCCCUAGCUGGUACAGUGAGGACAGCGUCAACAUAUCGAGUGUUUCUCAGCUCCGGCUUGAGGGCUUGUGUAGGUGCAUCAAGAUCUGCUAAAUUAAG